rnacentral:lncRNA from 1 species
UUUCCUUUGUUCGUGCCUGAGCCUUCAGGUUGCUCAUACAUAACUGAAAACAUUUAAUUUAAGCAAGGAUGAGCAUUUGAGUGCCCAGCAAGUAAUAGCAAUUAUAUAUAUAAGCUGAAAGAAUAUAAGUAUUCUCUUUACAUAACACUUCUACAACGAAUCAAAAGUUGUGAAGUAAUCUGUACUGAUAAAAGAUUCACAUAACAACUCUCUUUCAAUUUCUUGAAAUUAGGCUCCACCCAUGAAUAGGGUUUAAGAAACAUACUAUGAACAUUGUUUUUCAUUUUCGAAAAGGUUUAGCAGAAAUUCAUCCGCAAACCGUCAUAACUUACGGGCACGGAGGGUGAUCAGCCCCGUUGUACCCUGUAUUGAUCAAUACUACAUAACUUGAACGAAAUUCAUCGCUCACCCUUUGUCCGCCGAAGCGCAUAAAAAUUUUCCCAUUAUCGGGAUGUUCAUACAUGCCUGGUUCCAAACCCGAAGGUUUUUAAUCUUGCUCAACAAUAAUAUGUAAUUCAACAUAUAUGUAUACGGGUAAUUGACAAAGGUAUAUCAACAUGUGAAUAAAUGCCAUGAUUAUCCAAGUGGGGACACUUGUAUAACCAUUUAGAAAUCAACUUAACAGAAUAUAUAUCUGAGCUAACAUGUUGAUAAUCAAAGCGUACAUAAUCUGUACAGGAAUAGAAUAAUUCUGAAACUUCUUACUCAUGUCCAUUGCAUAAAGGAAAUGCAAAGGUAAGAUACUUGCCUGAUUCGCUGAUUACAAAUCUCAACUUAGGUUUUAUCUCUUUAUCACAACCUAUCAAUAAUCAGAUCAUUCGUUCGAUUAGAACAAUAUAUCAUAACACAUAGUACUGUCUAUUACAGUCAGCACAUAGUCUAAUCACGUCAUCACAUAAUCGCAGUGAUCAUACUUUUAGUUCAUAUUCUAUACUUGAAAUAUUUUUAUACAUUUUUCAAAUAUCUCAUCCAUGCUCUUACAGAAGUCUUUUCUUUCUAUUAUAGGGUCUGACAUUUGUCGGCGUACCGACAGCUUUAUCGGGUAAAUACUGAGUCUAAGACUCUUAUCCUAUACCUCAACAUCUGUAAAUAUCAAACAUUUUAUUUUUAAUCAUUUUCGAAUUUUCCAGAAAUUGAAAAAUUUAAAAUAAUUCAAAUCUGUCACUACCGGGCCUAUAGUGAUAUAACUGUUACUAUAGGUGUUCCUCAAAACUUCAUAACUUCAUAAUCGGUUCUCAAGUCAGCUAGUUUGGCCGGCUAUAACUUUCAAACAUCGGAAUCAUAAUUAAAUGAUUUAAACAUUAAACAAUUCCAUUAUCAUUAAUAAUUAAUUUAUAUUAAACUAUUAAUGAAACCAUUGCCAAAAUAUAAAAGUUAUUUAUAAUAACUCAAACUAUUUUUAAAACAUUUAUAUUACCCUUAAAUGAUUUUUAAAACAAUUAAAAUCAUUUUUAAAUAAUCACCAUUAAUAUAUAAAUAUUAAUGUACUAUUCAUCCAAAUAUUAAAAGUCAUUAAUUAUAACUUAAAAUAUUUUUAAAUCCUUAAUAUCCUCUUUAAAUGAUUUUUAAAUAAAUAAAACCAUUUUUAAACUAUUUAUUUAAUAAUAAUUAUUAAAUAAACUAAAUAUCAUUAAUAUUAUCUUAAUAUCAUUAAUAUUAAAUUAUUAAUGAAAUUAUCCUUUAAAUAUUAAAAGUUAUAUUUUAUAACUUAAAAUAUUUUUAAAUACCUUAAUUUCAUUUAAAAUGAUUUUUAUAAUAUUAAAAUCAUUUUUAAACUAAAUUAUUUAAUAUAAUCAUUAAAUAACUUUAAUAUCAUUAAUAUAUAAUUAAUUAAUGAAAUUCAUCACAAAAUAUUAAAAGUCAUGGGAAAUAACUUAAAAUAUUUUCUUAUACCAUAAUAUAAUUUUUCAUGAUUUUUCAUGAAUUAAAACUAUUUUUAAAUCAUUUAUUUAAUAUUAUAAUUAAAUAAAUAAAUACCUUUUAUAUUCCAAAAAUAUUAAAUAUUUAUGAAAUAUACUCAAAAUAAUUAAAAACUAUUUUUCAGACUUUAAAAUAAUUUUUCAUAAUUUAUUUGGUAUUUUUAAUAAUUAAAAUCUAAUUUUUCUAAUUUUUAAAUCAUUUUUCGGAAAAUCAGAAAUUAAAAUAAUUAAAACUGUCGCUAAAGGCCCCUAUAGUGACAGAAGUGUCGCUAUAGGUGUUCUUGAGCCUACCCAGAUCUUCAUAAGGCAGAACCGAGUGGCCUACUUUGACCGUGAAUAACUCUCUCAUCUUAACGAAUUUGGACAAUCUAUAAAUUGGGUCUUGUAGAGGAAAUACAAGACUACAAGAUCCAACAAUCAUAACCUCUAAACAAACAUCAGAUCUGGGAUAAAUCAGCCAUCAAAGUAGCUACCAAAGCUGUUCUUCACGAAGAACAGUUCGAGGUGCCUACUUUGGACCUCUAUAACUUGAUGAUCGUGUAACGUUUAUGUGAUCUAUCAAUUCCAGUGUGUAGACAACAUGUAGGACUACAACUCUAACACUUAACAUCAUCAUAAAAACAAGAAAUCAAGCAUCUAAAGUAUGGUCAAACCUUGUCAGAAAAAUUAACACUUAGAAAAUUCUGGGCUGCCCAGAAUUUUCUGGUCAAUGCCGGUCAACCCACUUUGACCUUAAAUAACUCUUAAUCCGUAAUAUAUAUGGACCUGAUUCUUUUUGGAGGUUAAAUACCACAUAACAAGAUACACAUAUCAACCUUUAGAACACAAAACACAUUAAAGAUAACCGAGAUAUAAGGCCUGACAUUUUCCAAAAUAAUAUUUUCUGGACACUUAGAAUAUUUUCUGGGUUUGAAGAACAGCCGGUCAAUGCCGGUCAACCCACUUUGACCGCUUAUAAAUCCCGAUCUACAAUAGCUAUGAACUUUAUUCCUUUUGGAGAUUAAAGACCACAUAUCAGGCUACCUAUAACAACUUUUAAACAACAAAACUCGUGAUCGACCAAAGAGUUAUAGCCUCUGACAUUUGGUGAAAAAUAACAGAAUUCGGUUUUUCCAACUUGUUUAAAUCUUCAAAUUCGUGCACUUUGAUGUUAUGGGUUCAUGAUUUUACAACCCAGAACAUUAAUAGACUCUCUAUUACACUACUUUAAACAAUCAAUUGCAUCAAUUAACAUCGAAUCGAAGGAUUUCUAGAAUUUAGGAUUUCCUACCUUUUCAAGCUUGAUUUUUGAUUUCUGGCUUCUUGAUGCUUCUGAUUUGUUGUUUGUGAUGGUUGGGCUUUGUUUAGGGACUGAUAUGCUAGAUAAUUUCGUUGGCUAGAGGUUGAGAGAGUUUGUCUAGAGAGUUUGUGAAAUUUUAGUGUGCAAAAUAAUGUUAACUUUCCAAUCUAUUUAUAAGCCAAAUUAAUUGCCUUGGAUGCUAAAUUGGUUGGUAUAAUUGAGGUGUAAUGGUAUAGUAGCAUGAGGGAAUUCUAGAAGGUGGUGGUUGGCUAGCUUUUGCAAAGAUUCUAGCAACAAUGCUACUAAUAAUACACUAAUAAACCAAAAGGGCAUUUUGGUUAUUUCGCAUAUAAUUUCAUGGGCAUUCUUGUACAUGGCAAUUAAAUCUAAUAUUUAAUCACUAGAUGGUAAUUCUUAUCAUUUACCAAUUACUUUUCAUCCUUUGGUAAAUUAAAACAUUUAUACAUUAACAUCGUAAUUAAACCCN